rnacentral:rRNA from 1 species
AUUGAACGCUGGCGGCAGGCCUAACACAUGCAAGUCGAACGAAGUGGCGGACGGGUGAGUAACGCGUAGUAAACCUGCCCUUCAGAGGGGGACAACAGUGGGAAAGGAAUGCUAAUACCGAAAACGGAAGGAGGGGAUGGCGUCUGAUUGGCUAGUUGGAGGGGUAACGGUGCACCAAGGCGAUGAGCAGUAGCCGGUCUGAGAGGAUGAACGGCCACAUUGGAACUGAGACACGGCCCAGACUCCUACGGGAGGCAGCAGUGGGGAAUAUUGGACAAUGGGCGAAAGCCUGAUGCAGCCAUGCCGCGUGUGUGAAGAAGGUCUUCGGAUUGUAAAGCACUUUCAGUUGGGAGGUGUUACUAACAGAAUAAGCACCGGCUAACUUCGUGCCAGCAGCCGCGGUAAUUC